GGACAGAGUAGAAGCGUUCAGCCCGGCCCCGUCCGCGGUGGGAAAUUGCUCUUUCA
rnacentral:ncRNA from 1 species